GUCAUAUGCUUGUCUCAAAGCUUAAGCCAUGCAAGUCUAAGUUCAGGCUUGUUCCUUCGGGAGCGAGCCGAAACUGCGAACGGCUCAUUAGUCAGAUAAGGUUCCUUGGCGAAAAGCGGGUCGGUUUAAUGGAUAACUGUGGUAAUUCUAGAGCUAAUACAUGCAACGUACCGUGGUCCCCCCUCUUUCCUUCGAGUCGGAGGUCGGGGAAACGGCAUUUAUUCUCUGGACCAGAUCGCCCUAGCCUGCGAAGCUACCGUCAAAAGUAGCGACGGGGCGAAGCGACAAGUGUUGAAAUCCGAAUAACUGUGCCGAUCGCGGGGUCUUUCCGGGCCCCCGACGACUUUGCCAUGAAGUGUCUGUCCCAUCAAUUGGCGAUGGUCGGCGACCUGCCUACCACGGUGUUGACGGGUAACGGGGAAUCAGGGUUCGAUUCCGGAGAGGGAGCCUGCGAAACGGCUACCACCUCCAAGGAGGGCAGCAGGCGCGCAACUUACCCAAUCCCGACACGGGGAGGUAGUGACGAAAAAUAACGUGGCGGGGCCCUUUCGUGGUCGCCGCGGGCGGAAUGAGCGCAAUUUAAAAGAGUGUGCGAGGAUCCAUUGGAGGGCAA
rnacentral:rRNA from 1 species